GGAGAACGCACGCUGUGUGAGAAGCAGCAGCAAGAGGAAAGCAGCCCUUAAUCCUGUUUCCGGGGUUGGGAAGGCAGUGACGGCAGGCAUCGGACCUGCCCUGCUUGGACCUAAAUUUAAAGGUACCCUCUACUGAGUUUAAGGGAAAAAAAGAAGAAACAAAAAGAAAAGUUUACUUUAAAAACACAAGUGAAGCCUCCUCUUGUGGAAAGGCCUCUCCCGUCUUGUUCCUCGUUUUGGCCCCCAGGGCCAAGGUCAGCGCCGGGCAGACGGCGGGGGCCCGGGCUGCAGCUGGUUAACUGGACCCUGGAGAAAAACGAGCAGAAACCGCCCCCGAAGCUCCAUUCAGUUCAAGGCCUCGUCCUUGUCUUGGUGGGUGCAAAAGUAAACUGAGCUUCACACGUGA
ensembl:lncRNA